AUUGAACGCUGGCGGCAUGCCUUACACAUGCAAGUCGAACGGUAACAGGUCUUCGGAUGCUGACGAGUGGCGAACGGGUGAGUAAUGCAUCGGAACGUGCCCAGUAGUGGGGGAUAGCCCGGCGAAAGCCGGAUUAAUACCGCAUACGACCUGAGGGUGAAAGGGGGGGAUCGCAAGACCUCUCGCUAUUGGAGCGGCCGAUGUCAGAUUAGCUAGUUGGAGGGGUAAAGGCCUACCAAGGCAACGAUCUGUAGUUGGUCUGAGCGGACGACCAGGCACACUUGGACUGCGACACGGCCCAGACGCCUACGGGAGGACGCAGUGGGGAAUUUUGGACAAUGGGCGCAAGCCUGAUCCAGCAAUGCCGCGUGCAGGAAGAAGGCCUUCGGGUGGUAAACUGCUUUUGUCAGGGAAGAAAUCUUCUGGGUUAAUACCUCGGGAGGAUGACGGUACCUGAAGAAUAAGCACCGGCUAACUACGUGCCAGCCGCCGCCGUAACAC
rnacentral:rRNA from 1 species